ensembl:lncRNA
UUUCAAAGUUACUAAGAUUUGUUAACUUCAUUCUUAGAGUAUACGCAUGUGUGUACACGUCAGUAUAUGUACAGAUGGGUCAUCUAGUGCCAGUGAGCUCACCUGGACUGCCAUCCAGUUACCCUUCCUGAGACACUUACCUUUGGAUAAGUAAGGCUUCUCUGUGGAUGUGAAAGUGAAGAAAUGGCACCUUGAAUAAAAC